rnacentral:rRNA from 1 species
GAUGAACGCUGGCGGCGUGCCUAAUACAUGCAAGUAGAACGCUGAAGCUUGGUGCUUGCACCGAGCGGAUGAGUUGCGAACGGGUGAGUAACGCGUAGGUAACCUGCCUGGUAGCGGGGGAUAACUAUUGGAAACGAUAGCUAAUACCGCAUAACAGUAGAUAUUGCAUGAUAUCUGCUUGAAAGGUGCAAAUGCAUCACUACCAGAUGGACCUGCGUUGUAUUAGCUAGUUGGUGAGGUAACGGCUCACCAAGGCGACGAUACAUAGCCGACCUGAGAGGGUGAUCGGCCACACUGGGACUGAGACACGGCCCAGACUCCUACGGGAGGCAGCAGUAGGGAAUCUUCGGCAAUGGGGGGAACCCUGACCGAGCAACGCCGCGUGAGUGAAGAAGGUUUUCGGAUCGUAAAGCUCUGUUGUAAGAGAAGAACGAGUGUGAGAGUGGAAAGUUCACACUGUGACGUAUCUACCA